UUGUUUUUAAAGAAGAACAUUUCUGAGAGUAACUGUUCAGGUAUUGACGGUAUUUAACCAGAAAGCCAGGGCUAACUACGUGCCAGCAGCCGCGGUAAUACGUAGGUGGCAAGCGUUGUCCGGAUUUAUUGGGCGUAAAGCGAGCGCAGGCGGUUUUUUAAGUCUGAUGUGAAAGCCUUCGGCUCAACCGAAGAAGUGCAUCGGAAACUGGGAAACUUGAGUGCAGAAGAGGACAGUGGAACUCCAUGUGUAGCGGUGAAAUGCGUAGAUAUAUGGAAGAACACCAGUGGCGAAGGCGGCUGUCUGGUCUGUAACUGACGCUGAGGCUCGAAAGUAUGGGUAGCAAACAGGAUUAGAUACCCUGGUAGUCCAUACCGUAAACGAUGAAUGCUAAGUGUUGGAGGGUUUCCGCCCUUCAGUGCUGCAGCUAACGCAUUAAGCAUUCCGCCUGGGGAGUACGGCCGCAAGGCUGAAACUCAAAGGAAUUGACGGGGGCCCGCACAAGCGGUGGAGCAUGUGGUUUAAUUCGAAGCUACGCGAAGAACCUUACCAGGUCUUGACAUACUAUGCAAAUCUAAGAGAUUAGACGUUCCCUUCGGGGACAUGGAUACAGGUGGUGCAUGGUUGUCGUCAGCUCGUGUCGUGAGAUGUUGGGUUAAGUCCCGCAACGAGCGCAACCCUUAUUAUCAGUUGCCAGCAUUAAGUUGGGCACUCUGGUGAGACUGCCGGUGACAAACCGGAGGAAGGUGGGGAUGACGUCAAAUCAUCAUGCCCCUUAUGACCUGGGCUACACACGUGCUACAAUGGAUGGUACAACGAGUUGCGAACUCGCGAGAGUAAGCUAAUCUCUUAAAGCCAUUCUCAGUUCGGAUUGUAGGCUGCAACUCGCCUACAUGAAGUCGGAAUCGCUAGUAAUCGCGGAUCAGCAUGCCGCGGUGAAUACGUUCCCGGGCCUUGUACACACCGCCCGUCACACCAUGAGAGUUUGUAACACCCAAAGUCGGUGGGGUAACCUUUAGGAACCAGCCGCCUAAGUGGACAGAGAUGGGA
rnacentral:rRNA from 1 species